GACACACUCUUGAGGAGGGAUGUGCGGGGCCGACUCCGUGCCUUUCUCUUCUCUCCUUUUCCAGAAGGCUCUGCCAGCCUCUGGCCCACCUCUCUGGUCCACAUCAUGCAUUUGAGCACCUGAGGGGGUGCCUCUCUCCAAAGUGCAUUACUAAGGCCUGUGGUUAAUUUUUCAGCAGCUGCUUGCCUCGCUAAUGGUCUGGGAAACCAACCGGGCCUCCACCCCUGCCUGGAGAGCCAGUCACAUUCUGAGGUAAACGGUGCUUGGGAAGAAAUGCCAGGGCUCCAAGGUUGAUGGGAAAAGGAAACUGGCUUUCUGGCCCUGGAGACUUUCCACUGUCACAAGUGCCAUCAGGAUGCCCGGCUCCUGCCACUUUUGCUAUUCCUUCUGCCAGCACCACAGCGGCCCCCUUGGGGGUUCACCGCGCUGUGCCUGGCCAGGCCCCAGGCCAGAGACCAGGGUGGAGUAUGUGGGUCUCUGAGCCCAUUGGCCUGUGACCCCCGUAAAGAGAUCACCCUUGCUUUUUAGGCCGCCAUCAUUAUGGGCAAGAAAACCACCCGGGGUGUGGUCUAGGCCUGGACAUGGCUGACUUAAGAAAAGAGGAACAAAUACCCUGGAAGCCGACACAAACUUCAAGUACCGGCCUUCAAGGUGCGCUGGCGGUCUUGUGUGCAGACCCUUACAGAGCACCUGCCAAGCGCCGAGCAGGAAAUGGAGGGGUGGCCCGGGACCGGCAUGCUAAGUGGGCCUGGGGCCCACGAACACACACAGCAGGGCCUUUAACUACCAGGGGGCACAGCAUUGGAGAUGGCAGCGGUGAGGAGAGAGCAUGGAGUCAGAAUCGGGCAGCCCUGGACUGAAUUCUGGUCCCGUCACCUCCAGCCGGGCCAGGGAGAAAUCCACCACGUUGUCCAAACCUCGCUGUCCUUUCCUACAGAAUGAGGACACUGGCCCAAACCAGACCAUCUGUGCCUGGCAUCUUCCAGUCUGGUGUCCCCUCAGCACCCCUGGUGCCUUUCCUGCACAGUGGGGCCUAGGCACGUGGGGAAGAGGGGGGGUGCAGUUCAUAGUUGCUGGUCUCCUGUCUAAGCCUGUUGAAAAGAGGGACCGUGCAGAGCAGAGGGAAGGUGGUGGGCCUCUCCCUGUGAAGUCCUGGGAGGCCUUAGGCAAAGUCAAAAGUGACAGGAGCACCCCAUCCCCCACCAGCCGCCAUCCCAGGGGCACCCAGCCUAAGGCCAGCUUUACGUGCAUACUAUUUGCAUAAAUUUGCAUAAAGACAGUAUUCGGGUGUCUUCUAGGCAAUUAUUCACUCCUGGCAUCUCUGCACUCCAGGAAAGGGUGCUAGCAGAGAUGUGGCCCUGUGGGCUUUGUGUCAAAAGGGCACCGAGAGCCCCAGCCCCAUUCCACCCCUACCUCCCCAGCCCCUGCGCAAAACAUCUCCCUUGGGCCCGCACUUCCCCUCCCCCUCACCUGCCGCCCCUGAAUCCUUUGGGGGCUACUGUCUACUGUCCAGUUUCCUGGGGAAGGCAGGCUUACACCUCCACACCUCCCCUCUCUUCAGCAGCCCUAA